GACGAACGCUGGCGGCGUGCUUAACACAUGCAAGUCGAACGGAAAGGCCCUGCUUUUGUGGGGUGCUCGAGUGGCGAACGGGUGAGUAACACGUGAGUAACCUGCCCUUGACUUUGGGAUAACUUCAGGAAACUGGGGCUAAUACCGGAUAGGAGCUCCUGCUGCAUGGUGGGGGUUGGAAAGUUUCGGCGGUUGGGGAUGGACUCGCGGCUUAUCAGCUUGUUGGUGGGGUAGUGGCUUACCAAGGCUUUGACGGGUAGCCGGCCUGAGAGGGUGACCGGCCACAUUGGGACUGAGAUGCGGCCCAGACUCCUACGGGAGGCAGCAGUGGGGAAUAUUGCACAAUGGGCGGAAGCCUGAUGCAGCAACGCCGCGUGCGGGAUGACGGCCUUCGGGUUGUAAACCGCUUUCGCCUGUGACGAAGCGUGAGUGAUGGUAAUGGGUAAAGAAGCACCGGCUAACUACGUG
rnacentral:rRNA from 1 species